AUUACAUAGAACAACUUAUUUCAUCUCAAGGUCAGCUGGUCACGGUCUUUCCUAGUAUACAAGCAAGAAGAGGAGGAGGGAUAGUUUAGCAGUAGUGGUGUCAGUAGAUUCAUAAUUAGUGGAUAGCUUUGUGAUGAGUGCCAAUUACGAGUUAUAGUCGGGAAAGGUUAAUUACUAAGGAUAGGUUAGGUAAGACAAGGAUAGGUUAAGUUAGUUCAGGUUAGGAAGGCUAGGGGAUCUUAGGUGAGAUUUGGAUAAGUUAGGAUUGGUGAGGUGAGACUGGAUUAGGUCAGGCUAGAUUUGGUGAGGUUAGGAUAGGUGAGGUAACGUGAGGUGAGGCUAGAUUAGGUCAGACGAGGUUUUGGGUAGGUUAGGAUAGGUGAGGUGAGGCUAGAUUAGGUCAGACGAGGUUUUGGGUAGGUUAGGAUAAAUGAGGUGAGGCUAGAUUAGGUCAGACGAGGUUUUGGGUAGGUUAGGAUAAAUGAGGUGAGGCUAGAUUAGGUCAGACGAGGUUUUGGGUAGGUUAGGAUAGGUGAGGUGAGGCUAGAUUAGGUCAGACGAGGUUUUGGGUAGGUUAGGACAAAUGAGGUGAGGCUAGAUUAGGUCAGACGAGAUUAGAUGAGGUUAGGUUAUCUUAGGUUUGGUGGCAUGUUUACAUUUGGUCCUCUGCUUGUGUGGUAAGCUGAGUGGCCUUUUCCGAACUCCUUAUUUUCUCGUGUUUAUAUUUUUGCGCUCAGAGACACGCAUUUCAGCAGUUUUCGUGUUUUUCGUCUGCACUGCGAUACCACAUAAGGGAUAUUUUUGCGCAGACACGUAUUCCAGCAUUUUUUUCCCCCUCAUUGCGACACCACGUUAGGGAUAUUUUGUGGCCUCCGUUGGUGACUUCGUGAUGAAUAUUAAUGAUGCAUGAGUGUUCUUCGCGCGCCUAACACACUGACUGCCCUAGGAAACUCAUGAGAUAAAGAAAAAUGGUAAUAAGUGAAAGAAGAAGGGGAGUGGGUGGACAUGAGAGAAGAAGGAAGUAGGUGUAAGUAAAAGGAGAAAGAAAGAAGUUAUUGAUAAGAAAAGGAAGAAAGUAAGAUAAGUAAGAGAAGAAGGAAGUAGGUGUAAGUAAAAGGAGAAAGAAAGAAGCUAUUGAUAAGAAAAGGAAGAAAGUAAGAUAAGUAAGAGCAGAAGGAAGUAGCUGUAAAUAAAAAAAGAAAGAAGCUAUUUAUAAGAAAAGGAAGAAAGUGAGAUAAGUAAGAUAAGUAAGAAAGUAGCUGUAAGGAAAAGGAGAAAGAAAGAAG